CCUGGAUGAGCCAGAGUGGCGGCCAAGGGGAGACGGAGCGGCCCUUCACAGCCAGGGGAGCACGGAGGGCCACCACCAUGCACCCGGCAGCUGACUCAUCGGCCCGGUGGGCUUGCUACCUCCAGCACAGGUGGACUUUGCUUCCACACCGGAGACGAUAGGCAGUGUGGAUGAUGUGUCCGGGAAGGGGACUUCCUCACCCAGGGCUGUGGCUUCUUGCUGUGCAGACCCCGCCAUCAGGCCUGAAGAUGCGUGUCACCCUCUUGGGGACCCUGAGUCCUGGGGGAGUGUCAUUUCCAGGGAUCAGUGGGCCACCCCUUCCCUGGCAUGGUGUCACUGGCAUUUCAGGUGGAUGAGUCACUGUGGUGGGUCUGUCCAGGGCACUGUAACCUGCUUCCUGGCCUCCACCCACUGGAUGCUGGGAGCUUGCUCCUGCAGCUGUUGCAGCCAGCACUGCUUCCAGACACCACAAGGGCCCUGGGCAUGGAAAUACCCCGGCUGAACCCCCUGGUUGGACGUUUGGCCCAUCCAUCCCAGGCCCCUGGCACAGUAAAGGACAAGAGCCUGGUCGGAUUCAGAGGGACAGAGACCCCAAGCAUCGAGAGGCGCGGCUCCGUGCUGGAGGGCCACCUUCGAGUGCCGCAGCCCCCUUGUCCACGUGGCUCAGGCUCCACUGCGGUCCGCUUCUGCCCGAGCUCUCUUCUCUGUGGCCCCACUGUGACCACAGAAGGACCUGAUACCUGAGCUCUUGACGGCCGCAUGGCGGCUGCUGCUGGCCAGUCCAGCCUGUCCCUCAGAGUGACGAGCACUGAGAUGGGCUCUCUCUGGAAGUCACUGCGCACUCAGGCCUUUUGAUCACAGCAGACUGGUCCUCGCACCCAGGAUGUGACAGAGAGGAGCUCAGCGUGGCCAGAGCCUCUCCCUCUCCUCUGGUGCGGGGGUCUUCUGUCCUGGGGCCUGGAUUUGCUGCCUUUCCCACUCAGCUUCUGCCAGCACCGUCCUGUGACCCACACGCUUCUGUGACCAGGACAAGACACAAGGACCUGGCCAGUGCGCACGGGGUCCCUGCACACCUGGAAACACCGGGCCCUACACAGAGGUGGCCCUGGCCCUGCUACAAGCCGCCCUCAGGUCCCAGUGGCUCAGGGGGAGCCACACUGGGCACAGAUGAUGCCUUUGAGCAGAAGCCGAGACUCCUCUGUCCGGUGUGGCCUCGUCCCACUCCCAGGAGCAGGGGACCAGGCCCGGCUGAGUGGCUGCCACGUGCAAGUGCCCAUCCUUGGUCACAGCUGAGUCACGGGCCUCCAGAGUCCUCCUGGCCAGACCUCCUCAAGUCCACACUGGCCUGCUGCAUGCACAUGGCAGCUCUGCCCCUCGCAGAGGCCGGAUGGCCACUCCUGCAUCAAAUAGCCCAGCUGGCCGCAGCAGAAGGAAGAGGCCUGCGUGGGGAGUGUAGCAUCCUUCCCUGCAGAACACCACUGGGCCCCACCACUGUCCCCUCCAGCAGAGGACGCAUGAGGACAAGCCUGGAACCAAGUUCCCUCCCUCCCAUGGCAGCUCACAGAUGGGGAAGAUCCAGGCCCCUCUCUCGGUCCACGUGCUUCACACCCUGCAGCCUGCUGGAGCACGGACCAACGUGCCCAGCUUUGGAGCUGGCAGGGUCCACACAUCAGUGCUGCUCUCACCAGCUAAAGACAUCCCGCUUCUUGGGAGAGCAGGGAGCUGAGGCUGCAGGGCCGUGGGGGUCCUGAGGCUGCAGGGUGGGCCACCUCGGAGCUCUGCAAGGACCCAAGUCCACCCUGCACCUCCUGUGUGACGCAAGACAGAAGACUUGUCCUAACCACGCCGUGCACUCAUGUCUUCACAUGAGCCUGCCUUGACCUCGUCCCUCACAGCCCAGUUUUAGCAAGAACCUGUGCUCCGAGAGGACCCCACCCCGGUACCUGACUGCAUUCCUCAGCUGGAUCAGUUCCUCCCCUCUCUGACGCCAGGUCUUUGGCCAGUGUUUCUUCUCUGCUCUUUUCCUUCUCCUCACCCCUCCCUGCCUCUUGCAUUCAGAGUGGAGCCCAGUCCUGGCCUGAGGUUUCUGACCCACUGCAAUUGCUCCUGACCAAAAUCGGCUUUCAGGCAUUUAACUACUGCACAGGCCCUGUGAGGUGGUCCUUGUGGGAGGUGACAUCUGGGGCCCUGAACACCCAUUCUGGGGGGACACUGAGUGGGCCACCGAGUGAGGGCACAGGGCAGAUGGGUGUGGAAUGGGCUUUCUGGAGGCUCAGGAGCUUGACGCUCAGUGCUGACCCGGAUGCUGGCCACAGGGGGCCUCAGGCAGAGCAGGACAUGUGGUGGCUACCUUCCGCCAGAUGGGGUCCUGAGCAGGAGAGACAUCUUAUCUGCAGUUUCAGGGGCUGGGGGCUGACGUCUGGGGUCUGUGAUGGGGACCCGAGGCCUCUGUGCCUCAUUUCUGCAGCUGCACAAUGGGACACUGCGGAGCAAAUGCCUUCGGGACAGGGACACAAGGGGGGGGGGCGGCAUCACAGGGAAGCCGUCCCAGCCUCGGGCGUUCCUCAGGGCUGGCUCUUCCGGCCCAGGCUCUCUGAGUGCUUCCUGGCUGCUCUGUUACCUGCCUGGGGAGGCCCAUAGCAGGAAAAUCAAACGCCAGACUUCAGGCAUCUGAAGUGCUAAUGAGGCCACGUGUGUCCCAGCCUGGGGGCUAAUUCCCAAACAGCCAGAUCAAAACUCCUGCAAAAGCCUGGUUUGAUACAUUUUCCAAGACACG
rnacentral:lncRNA from 1 species